rnacentral:piRNA from 1 species
UGUUGAAUCAAUGCAUGAAGGCCCCAGGGG